CAGGAGCCCCUGCGAGAGGCGGCCAUCAGGUUCAUGGGGAUGGCCGGGCGGCACCUCAGGGGGAAGAUGGAAGAGCUCCAGGUCAUCUGUGAUGCCCUUGAAGAAAUGGCAUUUGACAGCAAUCCCGCCAUCAGAAACCUUUCAAUAGAAACUGGGUUCGUUCUCCGGGCCAUACAGAGAGCUCCCUCCUCCACAUGGCGUAAAGUGAAAGAUCAAUUCCUCAGUGCAUGGAAGAAACGGCCUCGUCUCUGCCGCAGAGCCUUGCUGUGCUGCUGGAGCUCUGUGGAGGGCUGAUUUGGAAGGCUCUGUCUGGUGGGGCCAUUUGAGAAGGAUUUUCUUUUUCUUCAAGAUUUUUGUUUUCUUUUUCUUUUUUUUUUUUUUUUUUUUUGUUCAAUGUGGCAUUCACCAUCUCUGAACAGAGAGGGGCAUAAUUUUCUCUCACAGGAUUUUUUUUGGAGAAGCAGAGAAGAAGAGAAAAGAAUUUUUGUCUCUACUUGCUGCUCCAGUUGUUUUUGGACAUACGGAAUAGUUUAGGAAGAUUUUUUACCUGAAGUGAUUUUUCAGUCGGAUCCUGAUGAGGUUUUUUUUUUCCUUGGCAGUUGGGAAAAAGCUGUGUCCUGACUGUCUGGAGACAGUCACGGGUUUUUCUUUAGUCUCUUUUAGUAUCUCUUUAAUAUAGUCUAGUAUAAUGUAAUGUAGUUUAGUUUUAAUAAAGCAAUUGUUCAGUCUUCUGAAACAAUAGAGUCAAAUACCAAUCAUUUGCCACGUUGGGGGCUCCCUGCAUUCGAUAAGUGGUGACUUCUGACAUUGGCUGAAGAACCAGGAGCUGGAUGGAUCCAAUUGGGUUUGCAGGUGAGGCUGAACACGAAAAGGUUUGCUGAACACUGACGGAGAGUGUCCGGUGGUCCUUUGGUGAGUCACGAGAUGGGAGAUGCCACUUAGACCUUCUCUUGGACCCUGCGGGACCCUGCGCAGCCCAUUGUGGCCGGUCACUUUGGCUUCCUGGAGAAGGUACUGUUAACCCUUCACCUCCCAACAAUAGCAUUGCCCUCCGCAAGAAAUGGAGUGACGGUUGGGAAGAGGUGCCUUCAGAAAUGGAAGUUCAAUUUUCUCCAUUAGAGGAGGACACUAUUGGAGUGUGGAGGUUUCUGCCUCUGCACUACAGAAUUCCUGUGUUGGAGGAAGAUGUCUAUGAGUUUUUCAGAUGGGCAAAAGCUCACAGGUUUUCGUGGAUUUGCAGUUGUCCCUGGAUUCCAGGGCUUGGCAACCCCUGGAUCUCGACUUUUGGAGGAACACAUGAUGGCUGAGGAAAUUUCUCGGGAGUUCCCACUCAGGCAUCACUUUCCUCCAUUGUGAGGAAGAGAACCUCGUUGGAGAAGCGCCUUACCCCAGGCUGGUGGCCAUCAGGCCCCUCGCCACAGCUGGACCAAAUUGUCCAGGGACAGUCUCCACUGGUUUUCCCCACCUGCAUGGGGCAGGGGGGAGCAGC